CAGCAGCCGCGGGAAUACGUAGGGUGCGAGCGUUAAUCGGAAUUACUGGCGUAAAGCGUGCGCAGGCGGUUAUAUAAGACAGAUGUGAAAUCUAUGGGCUCAACCCAUAGUCUGCACGGGAAACUGUCGGGCUUGAGAAUGGGAGAGGUGAGUGGAAUUUCCGGUGUAGCGGCGAAAUGCGUAGAUAUCGGAAGGAACACCUGUGGCGAAAGCGGCUCACUGGACCAUUUCUGACGCUGAUGCACGAAAGCGUGGGGAGCAAACAGGAUUAGAUACCCCAGUAGUCCCUGUCUCUUAUACA
rnacentral:rRNA from 1 species